rnacentral:rRNA from 1 species
GUUAAGCGACUAAGCGUACACGGUGGAUGCCCUGGCAGUCAGAGGCGAUGAAGGGCGUGCUAAUCUGCGAUAAGCGCCGGUAAGGUGAUAUGAACCGUUAUAACCGGCGAUACCCGAAUGGGGAAACCCAGUGUGACUCGUCACACUAUCAUUAACUGAAUCCAUAGGUUAAUGAGGCGAACCGGGGGAACUGAAACAUCUAAGUACCCCGAGGAAAAGAAAUCAACCGAGAUUCCCCCAGUAGCGGCGAGCGAACGGGGAGGAGCCCAGAGCCUGAAUCAGCAUGUGUGUUAGUGGAAGCGUCUGGAAAGGCGCGCGAUACAGGGUGACAGCCCCGUACACAAAAGCGCAUGUGUUGUGAGCUCGAUGAGUAGGGCGGGACACGUGGUAUCCUGUCUGAAUAUGGGGGGACCAUCCUCCAAGGCUAAAUACUCCUGACUGACCGAUAGUGAACCAGUACCGUGAGGGAAAGGCGAAAAGAACCCCGGCGAGGGGAGUGAAAAAGAACCUGAAACCGUGUACGUACAAGCAGUGGGAGCACCCUUUUGGGUGUGACUGCGUACCUUUUGUAUAAUGGGUCAGCGACUUAUAUUCUGUAGCAAGGUUAACCGAAUAGGGGAGCCGGAGGGAAACCGAGUCUUAAUUGGGCGUUAAGUUGCAGGGUAUAGACCCGAAACCCGGUGAUCUAGCCAUGGGCAGGUUGAAGGUUGGGUAACACUAACUGGAGGACCGAACCGACUAAUGUUGAAAAAUUAGCGGAUGACCUGUGGCUGGGGGUGAAAGGCCAAUCAAACCGGGAGAUAGCUGGUUCUCCCCGAAAGCU